GGCGGUGUAGCAUAGUGGUAAGGUGAAGGGCUCGUGACCAAUAGGUUUCCGGUUCGAUUUCCCGCUGGGCCA